AGAGUUUGAUCCUGGCUCAGGACGAACGCUGGCGGCGUGCCUAACACAUGCAAGUCGAACGGACGAGGCCCCUUCGGGGACCGAGUUAGUGGCGGACGGGUGAGUAACGCGUGAGCAACCUGCCUUUCAGAGGGGGACAACAGUUGGAAACGACUGCUAAUACCGCAUGAUGCAGCGAGAUCGCAUGGUCUUGCUGUCAAAGAUUUAUCGCUGAAAGAUGGGCUCGCGUCUGAUUAGCUAGUUGGAGGGGUAACGGCCCACCAAGGCGACGAUCAGUAGCCGGACUGAGAGGUUGAACGGCCACAUUGGGACUGAGAUACGGCCCAGACUCCCACGGGAGGCAGCAGUGGGAAAUAUUGGGCAAUGGGGGAAACCCUGACCCAGCAACGCCGCGUGAAGGAAGAAGGCUUUCGGGUUGUAAACUUCUUUUACCAGGGACGAAGAACGUGACGGUACCUGGAGAAAAGCCACGGCUAACUACGUGCCAGCAGCCGCGGUAAUACGUAGGUGGCAAGCGUUGUCCGGAUUUACUGGGUGUAAAGGGCGUGUAGGCGGAGCUGCAAGUCAGAUGUGAAAUCUGGGGGCUUAACCCUCAAACUGCAUUUGAAACUGUAGCCCUUGAGUAUCGGAGAGGCAGGCGGAAUUCCUAGUGUAGCGGUGAAAUGCGUAGAUAUUAGGAAGAACACCAGUGGCGAAGGCGGCCUGCUGGACGACAACUGACGCUGAGGCGCGAAAGCGUGGGGAGCAAACAGGAUUAGAUACCCUGGUAGUCCACGCUGUAAACGAUGAAUACUAGGUGUGGGGGGACUGACCCCCUCCGUGCCGGAGUUAACACAAUAAGUAUUCCACCUGGGGAGUACGACCGCAAGGUUGAAACUCAAAGGAAUUGACGGGGGCCCGCACAAGCAGUGGAUUAUGUGGUUUAAUUCGACGCAACGCGAAGAACCUUACCGGGAUUUGACAUCCUACUAACGAAGCAGAGAUGCAUUAGGUGCCCUUCGGGGAAAGUAGAGACAGGUGGUGCAUGGUUGUCGUCAGCUCGUGUCGUGAGAUGUUGGGUUAAGUCCCGCAACGAGCGCAACCCCUAUUGUUAGUUGCUACGCAAGAGCACUCUAGCGAGACUGCCGUUGACAAAACGGAGGAAGGCGGGGACGACGUCAAAUCAUCAUGCCCCUUAUGUCCCGGGCUACACACGUAAUACAAUGGCGGUCAACAAAGGGAAGCAAAGCCGCGAGGCAGAGCAAACCCCCAAAAGCCGUCUCAGUUCGGAUUGCAGGCUGCAACUCGCCUGCAUGAAGCUGGAAUUGCUAGUAAUCGUGGAUCAGAAUGCCACGGUGAAUACGUUCCCGGGCCUUGUACACACCGCCCGUCACACCAUGAGAGUCGGGAACACCCGAAGUCCGUAGUCUAACCCGCAAGGGAGGGCGCGGCCGAAGGUGGGUCUGAUAAUUGGGGUGAAGUCGUAACAAGGUA
rnacentral:rRNA from 1 species